AUGAAUCCAUCGUUCACCCCGGGUCCUGACGGUUUGCCGGUUAAGUUCUUCGAGACCUUCUGGCCCACAAUAAAGCAGGAGGUCAUGGCCCUCUUUGAGGAGUUCUAUGUGGGCUCCAUUGACCUCCAGCGCCUUAACUACGGGAUCAUCACUUUGAUCCCCAAGGUCCCGGGCGCCUCGGACAUUCGCCAGUUUCGCCCCAUUACAGUGAUCAAUGUGAUCUUCCACAUUAUCGCAAAGGGGUUCGCCAAUAGGGUAGUCCCUUUGGCUGGCCGCAUCACUCACCCGGACCAAUCCACCUUUAUUCAGGGUCGGUAUAUCUUAGAUAGGGUCAUGGUCUUUCAUGAAGUCUUGCACGAGGUCCGGACCAAAAACCUCAAAGCAGUAUUCCUGAAGAUUGACUUCCAUAAGGCGUACGACAUGGUUAGCUAG
rnacentral:rRNA from 1 species